rnacentral:rRNA from 1 species
UACAGAGGGGGCAAGCGUUGUUCGGAAUUACUGGGCGUAAAGGGCGCGUAGGUGGCCUGCUAAGUCGAACGUGAAAUCCCUGGGCUCAACCCAGGAACUGCGUCCGAUACUGGUUGGCUUGAAUCCGGGAGAGGGAUGUGGAAUUCCAGGUGUAGCGGUGAAAUGCGCAGAUAUCGGGAGGAACACCAAUGGCGAAGGCAGCUCGCUGGGACGUUACUGACGCUGAGACGCGAAAGCGUGGGGAGCAAACAGG